UGAGCACCCAAAGUGAGCAAAAGAACCGAGUGGCACAAUGACAUAGAUCGAGUGGCAUUUGAAAAUGUAAAGUAAAGAGACACUAGAGUUAGUGUGAUGCAAAGAACCAAUGUAAUGUAAAGAAUGAUCAAGAUAACAAUGUUAAAGUUAAAGUAAUGAGGGGAAUAAAGAAUAUAAUUGCUAGAGUUAGCAAAAGUAAAAGAAAAGUAAAGAAUGUGAUUGCAUGAGUUUGCAAUAUAAAGUGAUGUAAUGAACACUAGAGCUAGUGUAAAGUCAAGAUUGAACUUAUAAAUCCUUUGAGUUAAGGAUAUGAUCAUACUUGCUAUGAGUUCCGUGCUCGAGGGUGGUCGCUCCCCCUCGAGCGAUGCGCUCCGGAGUUAUGCAUCCGGGUUGGAGUAGACCCGUAAGGACGGUCCUAGCUGGUGAGUUCCUGCGAUGAUGGACUUAAUGUGAAGCAAGUUAAAGUGGCG
rnacentral:lncRNA from 1 species